UGGCGAACGGGUGAGUAACACGUGGGCAACCUGCCCAAAAGAGGGGGAUAACACUUGGAAACAGGUGCUAAUACCGCAUAACCAUAGUUACCGCAUGGUAACUAUGUAAAAGGUGGCUAUGCUACCGCUUUUGGAUGGGCCCGCGACGCAUUAGCUAGUUGGUGGGGUAAAGGCUUACCAAGGCAAUGAUGCGUAGCCGAACUGAGAGGUUGAUCGGCCACAUCGGGACUGAGACACGGCCCAAACUCCUACGGGAGGCAGCAG
rnacentral:rRNA from 1 species